rnacentral:rRNA from 1 species
ACUCAAAUGAAUUGACGGGGGUCUAUACAAGUGGUGGAACAUGUGGUUUAAUGCGAUACUACGCGCCUAACCUUACCAGUUCUUGACAUGAAUAAAUUAAUUAUUCUCAGGUGUUGCAUGGCUGUCGUCAGCUCGUGUUGUGAUAUGUUUGGUUAAGUCCCUUAACGAGCGCAACCUCUAUUUGCUGUUAAAUAUUACACUGCAAAAACUGCCUUUGACAAAAAGGAGGAAGGUGGAGAUGACGUCAAGUCCUUAUGGCCCUUAUGAACUGGGCUACACACAUGUUACAAUGGCAUAUACAAAAUGUUACAAUGUUUAAUUCAAAGUCAAUCAUUAACCUUUGCCUUAGUUCGGAUUGAAGGCUGGAACUUGCUUUCAUGAAGGUGGAAUCACUAGUAAUCGUGGAUCAGGAUGCCACGGUGAAUUUGUGCCUGGACCUUGUACACACCGCCCGU